CCAGGGAGGAAGCCGCGCUCGACUACGCUUGUUUUCUAGGCCAAGGGUUCAGGGUUGCAGCUCGGCGGCCGCGGAGAGGCUUGUCUCGGGCAGCUGCGACUCCUGACGUCCGACCGCACGAGCCUUUCAUCGGAGGGAUUCUUUUUCUCGUUUUCACCCUCGGACAGGUGCGAGCGAAGGGUCGGAUCCGCUUCCUCAAAACGAUUCCUGCAGCGGAGGAAAUGGCCCUUCUCUGGAAAUCUCGGGACACCUGUCCCGGCUCAGAGGGCAACCCGUAGCCGCGCGUCCCCGUCCCCCAUUUUGCUCGCGGCAACCACUUAUGGCGGCCUCCCCGUUAGUGCCGAGCGCCUUCCUUCCCCCCCGCCACCCGCCGGCUUCGACUCCUGCCUGCGCACGGAGCCCGCUUCCCGGCCCGCCUGCUCGCAGCCCCUCCGGCGGGAGCCGAGCGAGCGAGGGAGGGGAAGGCAGGCAGGCAGGCAGGCUGGGGUUUUCGCUCGACGCCCACCAGGGGCUGAGUGAGCCUCCUUCAGUGCGCAAGCUCGGGGCACCAGAUAAAAGCCGGGCUGGCAGCUCUUGCCCUGCCUUGAUGGAGCCGAGACCAUCGAGUGGCAGGAGGAGGGAGUUAGGAACAGGCUUAGAUAAGAGGAGCUCGCUCCCGGUAGGAGGAGGAAGAAGCAGCUGAGGUGGGAAUGGCACUUGUCUGGCUGCCCGACUGGACCCCGCAGAAGGCGGCUGCCAUGGGGCACAGGCUAUGCAGAGGGGACGCGUGGCGGGGCUGCUCGCUUGGGGGUUCCGCCUGUUGCAAUACGAAAUGGCGGCUGCCGUCUCGGGGCGGUUGGUGAUUGUCGCGCCGCGAGGUUGUUGUUCUCCUCCCUCCUCCUCCCUCUGCCCUUCUUCCCUCCCUCCCCUCCCUGUCUUUGGCCGUUUCUCCGCAGCGAACCGCGGAGAGCGCACUGAGUCAGGAGGAGGCGGGGGGAGCGGCGGCCGCCGCGCAGCCAAUCAGCUCUGCGGACGGGCCGCGGAGGCGCGCUCCGAUUGGCCGGCGCUGACAUCAUCCUGCAGCAGGGGCAGACGCAGCUGCUGGGCAGGGCUCGGGGAGCUGUCGGGGGUGGCUGGUGCAAAGGGAGAAAACGGGCGCCAUGAUACCGGCCGCGGUGGAGGCAGCAAUUCAAGUACAGCGGAGAAGUACAGCUGAAUAAGAAAUGAUUAUUUUAAGUGUUACACGAAGAGUAGAAACCCUUGAGGAAUUUCAGUAAGUCCAAAAAUGAUUAGUAUUUCAGACAGAGAAGUCUUGAACUCUGCCAGAUAUCAAAGGAAUACUCGUAGUUUGUGUGACAGAAUCAUCAGGUACAACCCAAAAACAUCAGCCAAGAACAAAACCAGUUCACUCAAGAUACUGAUUCUAAGAUACACAACUGCUUUUGUGGAGACUGACAGACACAGCUCAUGUGAACGUUCAUACUGAAAAAACCCAUUUGGUGAAGUGGAACUCUUGGAAGUUACAUCCUGACUGAGAAGUGUCUGAUGGGUGGGGGAAACAUCCAGAUUUGGAUAAACUGCAUAAUGGACUUGACUUCAGCCACAGGGUGUUACUACCACCAUUGGUUUAUGUGCUUCAGUCAUCCUGUUUCAUUGCCAUUUAUCUUAGCCCAUAACCAAGGACACCCAGAUCAUCAAGGCAAGAUGUUCAAUUUCCACAAGAUAGGUGGGUAUCUUGGUGAACCUUUAGCCAUUAUGCAAAAAUGCCCAUAUUCAGAAAAAGUAAUAUACCAGGAUAUUUUGAGAGCUGGUAAUUAUAGGUGAAAUAGCAGGGAGAAGUUGAGUUGCUUCUCUGGGUUUCCUACAAGGUUUUUGGAGAGAAACGGCACAGUGACAAAGUGACUUCCAAAAAGAUAUGGCGAUUUGUUCAUACUCUGAGUGUGAUCUGUGUCCAAGAGCAACGCCAAGGUGGCCUUGGGACAAAUCUCUAGUUCAUGAAAUUUUUAGACAUCUGAUUGGUUUUCUAAUGCUUUGGGGAAAGAGUUACUAAAUUAAGUGCAAGAGAAGUGCUUCACAAUCCAGCAUGCUGCAGUGCAUCCAAAAUAAUUCAUGUCACAUUUGCAAGUUACUCAUAAGCAUUCACCUCCACAGGCAGUACUUCAAAGGUAUUGCAAGAUGCUCUUCCAAAUAGUCGUGUCUGUCCUUGCAAGGAAGCAAUCUGAUUUGGAUAAUCAGUUACUCAAAAAGCGGAAGCUGUAGUUUGGGAAACACCUUUCUGAAGUUGGUGUUCCAACAAUAAGGGCCAGCAGUGUGCCCCUGAGUGGGCACAAUUCCUUCCAUGCCAUGAAUGGCACAUAGUGUGUAAUUAAUGCAAAUAAGUUCUUUCCAUGCAGUGAACCCAGCUCCAGAACCCAGGAGAACUAUUGAAUUUUCUCUUGUGAAGGACAUUGUGAAUUUCCAAAAACAAGAUGUACUGUCUAUUUUGUCAAAACUGCUAUAAGUUUGCUCAACUUUUCUGUGUGUGGGUGAAUGUAACAGGAAAUUUGGUGGUGGUGAGUAACAUAGUUUGCAGUAAAAAGACGGUAAGAGAAUAGUAUAAUUGUUACUCGGACCACAAAAAUUGUUCAUACUUCACCUUGUUGUUCAUCGUGAACACUUGAAAUAAAGCCAGUAUAAAUUUAUUUGUUUCCAAGUAAAGGCAGUCAAGUGAAAUUGGCAUUUGAGCCAAACAUUUAGAACGGUGGGUGGGGAACGUGUGGCUCUCCAUAUGUUGUUGGACUCCCAAAGCCAUAAUCUCCAGCCAGCAUGGCCAAUGAUGGGAGUUGUUACUUUCUGGAGGGCUACAGGUUAGCCACCCUUGAGUUAGAGCUAAACCCUAGAAUGUCACAGCUUAUAUAGAAAGUAUAAAAAAAAAACCUAGGUAUUCAAAUUCUGUCUUCUGACUAUUUUGAGUGAAAGAAGGUUCAAGCUGGUUUUCUCUCUUCAGAUACGCCUUCCUUAAAAGAUGUGGGUAUAUUUAGCUGAAUUGAGAAACCACCUGGUGGCUUCUCAGCACAGUUCACUUGGGCUGCCUGUAUGUUUACCACAGCUUCAAAAAAAAGUGCAUUUGAUUUGGACAAGACAUUUUUGUAUUUGUACUGAACUGUGUUUGGAAGGAAUAUACUGAAAACAAAUAUGGCCAGGCAAGCAAAUGUAGUGAAGUACUGACCUUAGAACAUAGAAUAUGCUUUUGGAAUAGAAAUAGACCACAUCUUCCUACUGAAAAAAUGCAGAUAUUGUGGCAGCAGAUUGGAUGUUGUGUUGGAGAAUUUUCAGGAAAAUCUAUUCCGCAGAUGUGAAUAUCCUGUGCGCACUGUGAUCCUUAUAAGAUGGACAAGUUUCUUUAGGAAGGCUUCGGAGAGGCUCUUCAUGUGCCUUUACCUACAGAGGUUAGGUGGGUGACUAUGAAAUUGAUUUCUCGGUAGCCCUGUCCUAGUUUUGGAAUGCCCUCCCCAGGGUAAUUUGCCAUACUUGUAAGAUGUUUACAUACCAGUUGAAAAUACUUUUGAGGAUUAGCAGUCUCUGCUAACUCUUCCCUGCUGGUUGUGUUCCUGUUGUGAUGUCUUGCCGUUUUUUACUCCCAACUUUUUUUACUGUGUAUAAUCUUUCCCGCAGCUUCAAAAGUGGGGCAUUCCAUGCAGUGCAAGAAGAAGCCCUUGUCCCCUUCUUCAAUCCCAUCUUGGAGCAGAUUAAGAGCGAAGGGUAGCUUUGGUUCUGUUUGGUGGCUACUUGGAGCAUCCAGCAAAUGCAGAGAAGCUUUUGCUUCACCUUCGCCCUCAAGCUCAGAGGUGAUGGUGAGAAGAAUAUUAACUUUCCUUUGUAUUUGCCAGGUGCCCUGAAUGCCUGCCUGCCUCCCCCCUUUGAGGCAGGUGCGGAGACAGGAUAGGGCCAAAAAAACCUUGAGGCUCCUGCCUAAUUUGGGAGCUGAGGAAAGAAUGAGAAAACUCUCUGCAUCUCCAUGACUGUGAGGAAGCCUUGGAAACAUCACCUUUAAUAGAGGCUGAGAUUUGCUGCGGUAAGCAAGUUUGAGCCCCCCUGACAGGGAAGACCAUAGAAUGUAAACAAGCCCCCCCCCCCCAAAAAAAAGACAUGAGAAAAAAAUGCAAAUUUGGGCAAUGGGAUUCUAAAAGCAUUGGAGUCUGAGGUUUGGUUAGAUGUAGGUUUUUGGUACUGGAGGAUUAUUUAACUUAAGCUUGUCUUAAGCUUAUCUUGUGUUUAAAAGCAAUUUUCAUGUUGCUACUUCUGUCACUGUUAUUAAGGCUAGGGGAAAAUGUAAGGCCCACUUGACAACACAAGGGAUGAGCAGACUACUUUGGAAGCAUUUAUAGGCCUCGCUGCUUGCACGUCAGGGUUUUAGGAGUUGCUAAAACAAUGCCAGUAACUAUAGCCUGUUAACUUUAUAAUCUGAGAUACUGUUUUUUACGUCAUUAGAUGUGCACAUAAGUCUGAAAUUUUUGGGGAACAAAUAACGGUGCAUCACCUUUCCAUAGGGAGGUUGACAUCCAGAACUGUGACAAACCUGGAUUGCGAGGCAGCCUUGGUGAUGGUGGGACAAGAGCAUUGAGCAGCUCCCAAGCUGCUUGUUUGAAAAGGAAAUCACAUAAGUGCACGAGGGUGUUCUCAGCAUCUUGCAAAGCCUCUGAACUUCAAUCACUUGUAUCCCAGCUAGUGCAAUCCUGAAUUACUUCAAGAGAAUGAAAUCAACUGUCUUCGCAGACUUGAAAGUAGAACAAUGUGGAUUUCAUUUCUGGUAAAAGGAGGAUUUCUUCAGCCCUUAAGCUACAUUCUAGAUGCCUGUGUAUUAACCAAAGUAGCCUCAGGUUUUGUUGCUCUUUUCAGUGGCAGCUUUUAGAUUUGAAUACCAGGUUCAAAUCUCUCUUCUUCAAGCCCAACUGGUGACCUUGGGCAAAUGGCUGUCAAAACUGUACACACAGCAGUUUAAAUUGGUUUCAUUGCAUCCCAUGUGUGCAUGUUUGUUUGUUUUUUGCAUCGUCAACAUGAUGCCCUCAUCCAACUGGCAGCCUUCACCCCUCCUCCAAUUUAAUGUGGAUUUUCCUGCUCUGAACAGUAUGGGGGGGCACACAUACAGUUGUAUAUGGCUCAACUGUGGGCAUACUGAAGUGAAUUGUGUGGGGUGGGUUCUUGUGUUUUGCUGGGUGCCAUCUAACACUAUAUUGGCUGCUACUUUGGUGAGGUGCCCCUUCGUGAGUGGGUGGGGGGCAGGCGUGACACAUACUAUUAUUAUUAUUAUUAUUAUUAUUAUUAUUAUUAUUUAUUAAACUAUAUUGUGUAACUCUGAUAUACCAGAAAACCCAUAUCUCAAAAAAUUAAAAAAAAUGGCUAUACAUGCAGCUAAAACGGCUGCCUGCAUGCCUACAUUGGUACAUAUGUUGUGCAUACGAAGAUGAAACUUGGGCAAGCUCUACUAGGAAGAGUUGUGCAAGGUCCUGUCCAUUAAUCCACGGUCCCCUUUCUCCCACUGGAGUAAGCUGUAUUCUCCUUUUAUAUGCAGCAGAAGGAGAGGAACACGUGAUUUGUUCCGAAAGGCAGGCUUCAAGUUCUCCAGGUAUUAGAAGGCUUGAAGAAGCUGUUGUCCUGCUAAAAGAACAAGGCAAGUUAACGAAUGCAGGCCCAAAGGUCUUUACGUGGUUGACGGCUCUAAAAUGCACCCAGCCAUUCUAAAGAAAGUACGAGUUUAAAAGCAAGUGAGAGAAGCAAUAACACAAUAAGAUACAGAAACGAAGAAAGAAAAGACCACAGAGAGGUAGAAGUUGAUUUUCCUGUUGCUAAGAUAUUUUUUUCCUGUGCAGCUAAGCAGGCAAAUACUGUAAACAAAAGCUGAGACUUUUAGCAAGAGCAAACCACUACUUGUGCUACCGCUGUUGUUGCUCCUGGACAAGGCUGUAGUAAUCUCAAUUUCCUUAUCUUUUGCUUAAAUUUAAUUACCACAAUGAGGUGGGAGUUUUUCUCAACUAUGUCUAGACUUCAAAACACUGGUGUUGGGGAGUUGAUAAGAGUUUUGGCCUUGGACCAGGGAGGAAGGAUUUCAAUCCCUGUCCAGCUUUCAACUCGCUGGGUGAGCUCAAGGCAGACUUUUAACUCUUCCUUACCCUCCCAUACUUCUCAGAGCUCUUGAAGGCAGCAACUUGAACUUGUCAAAGAAACUUUCCAUUUUAAAUUCCAUCUCUUACAGACACCCCCCCCCAAUCUUUCUUUAUUGCUGGCUUGCAUAGCCGAAGAACACCGAGACUGAACAUAAAGUGAAACUGGCUUCUCCCAACUUAUGCCUCUCUGUGUUCCACUUCUGGAGGCUGUGGGACAAAGCAGUCCUGCUUGCUCUGGCAUGGUGGCAAAUAGGACAGAGAGCGGAAUUUACACCUGUUAGUCUUGCCAAGCCUUGGUUCAUAUCUGAACUUGACCGCAACAUCAAGCAAUGACCUGCAUCUGUGAAAGUUCCAGGCAGAGCUUUACUCACCUAAAGAUCAACAUACGUAGCCUGCUGCAAGUCAUCAAGUGAUAUAUGUGCAUGGGUGAAUAACCCCUUAAUAGUGCAAAUAAGAAUUUUUAUUCUUCACGGACUUUUGAACUGUUCAUCAAUAAAUGAGAAAGGGCAAGCACUCCCAUUUUAUGCAGUAAGGUCUGGCUAACACCCCGGGUAUCCUGCAUUUGCCCUCUAGAACACGGCAGCGGUUUCCUAGCAGACAAGUUAAUGUGAAGAGUUUUGUAAACAGGAAGUUAGAAAAACCACAAAACUUGCCUUCUUACGGGGUGAUAAAUGGUAAGUCAAACUGAAGUUUUGUUUUCCAGCUUUGUUUUCCUGUAUUUUCACAAAUAAAUGGUUCUGGCGAUAGGCUACCAUAGGCUGAGACCUGAUGAUAUUCCUCCUAGACAGUAAUGAAAAUCCAGGAACCCUGUCCUCUAGAGCUGCUACGCCUUCAAGUAUUGCCUGCCAGUAUAUAAUAACAGACUUAGUACUGGAAUGAAAGAUGUUAGAAAUACACUCUCCUUCCUGCAAUAAAACUGAAUAAAUGCUG